rnacentral:rRNA from 1 species
GACGAACGCUGGCGGCGUGCCUAAUACAUGCAAGUAGAACGCACAGUUUAUACCGUAGCUUGCUACACCAUAGACUGUGAGUUGCGAACGGGUGAGUAACGCGUAGGUAACCUGCCUGGUAGCGGGGGAUAACUAUUGGAAACGAUAGCUAAUACCGCAUAAUAUUGAUUAUUGCAUGAUAAUUGAUUGAAAGAUGCUAUUGCAUCACUACCAGAUGGACCUGCGUUGUAUUAGCUAGUAGGUGAGGUAACGGCUCACCUAGGCGACGAUACAUAGCCGACCUGAGAGGGUGAUCGGCCACACUGGGACUGAGACACGGCCCAGACUCCUACGGGAGGCAGCAGUAGGGAAGCUUCGGCAAUGGACGAAAGUCUGACCGAGCAACGCCGCGUGAGUGAAGAAGGUUUUCGGAUCGUAAAGCUCUGUUGUAAGAGAAGAACGGGUGUGAGAGUGGAAAGUUCACACUGUGACGGUAUCUUACCAGAAAGGGACGGCUAACUACGUG